rnacentral:rRNA from 1 species
AACGAACGCUGGCGGCAUGCCUAACACAUGCAAGUCGAACGAGACCUUCGGGUCUAGUGGCGCACGGGUGCGUAACGCGUGGGAACCUGCCCUUAGGUUCGGAAUAACUCCCCGAAAGGGGUGCUAAUACCGGAUAAUGUCUUCGGACCAAAGAUUUAUCGCCUUUGGAUGGGCCCGCGUUGGAUUAGCUAGUUGGUAGGGUAAAAGCCUACCAAGGAGACGAUCCAUAGCUGGUCUGAGAGGAUGAUCAGCCACACUGGGACUGAGACACGGCCCAGACUCCUACGGAAGGCAGCAGUGGGGAAUAUUGGACAAUGGGCGAAAGCCUGAUCCAGCAAUGCCGCGGGAGUGAUGAAGGCCUUAGGGUUGUAAAGCUCUUUUACCCGGGAUGAUAAUGACAGUACCGGGAGAAUAAGCGCCGGCUAACUCCGUG